CGAGACCCUGACCGAGCAACGCCGCGUGAGUGAAGAAGGUUUUCGGAUCGUAAAGCUCUGUUGUAAGUCAAGAACGAGUGUGAGAGUGGAAAGUUCACACUGUGACGGUAGCUUACCAGAAAGGGACGGCUAACUACGUGCCAGCAGCCGCGGUAAUACGUAGGUCCCGAGCGUUGUCCGGAUUUAUUGGGCGUAAAGCGAGCGCAGGCGGUUUGAUAAGUCUGAAGUUAAAGGCUGUGGCUCAACCAUAGUUCGCUUUGGAAACUGUCAAACUUGAGUGCAGAAGGGGAGAGUGGAAUUCCAUGUGUAGCGGUGAAAUGCGUAGAUAUAUGGAGGAACACCGGUGGCGAAAGCGGCUCUCUGGUCUGUAACUGACGCUGAGGCUCGAAAGCGUGGGGAGCGAACAGGAUUAGAUACCCUGGUAGUCCACGCCGUAAACGAUGAGUGCUAGGUGUUGGAUCCUUUCCGGGAUUCAGUGCCGCAGCUAACGCAUUAAGCACUCCGCCUGGGGAGUACGACCGCAAGGUUGAAACUCAAAGGAAUUGACGGGGGCCCGCACAAGA
rnacentral:rRNA from 1 species